UUUAAUAAUUAUGUUUUUGGAAUGCUGCCAUUUCCCUAAUGGUGGGAGGAAAGAAACUCAACACUUUUCCUGGCUGAGAUUCUACCUGCACCUGAAUUUUUCAUUGGGUGUUGGAACAACACUACAGGACAGACAGUGGCUAUAAAAUACAACUUAGGGAGAACAUGGAGGUACUACGCGACAGUGGGAGCCUUAUGAGGAAAUCUUGAUGACUUGUGGCAGAAUGACUCCUGUGGAAUGGAUGCCAAUACUGUAACUUUGCAACUCUUCAAAAACUCUUCACCCACUCAGAGCAAUCAACUCUUCUGGCUAGUGCCAUAAGAUAAAGAGGCACAGAAGGGUUAAGCACAAGGACACACGAGGUCAGCAGUGGAGCUGGAAACACAACUGAGCACUCACUGACAUGACUGAGUCAACAGAAGCCUAAUCCUGAACAGCAGGAAAAAGAUUUCAGUUGAGGGAUCCCUGCUGUAUGAAUGGAAAAUCUUGAUGAAAUAAUACAACCAAAAGACUAAACCAAGUGUUAAAGGAGCUGAAUGAGAAUCCAGUUUCAGAGGUGGAUGCAUAUUAUCCAAAGUAAAACAGAACACGUGAACUGCAGGUCUAGAAAUCCUGGCCAGGUCUCUACUCCCAAUGCAAUGGUUUAUCUUAUGCCACAGCAUGAAAUCCAGAACCAAGCCUGAAGAGCAGCAGUACAGCUUGAGACACUUUGGUUGGACACAGUG